GGGGAUUUAGCUCAGCGGCAUAAGCGCCUGCCUUGCAAGCAGGCAGUCGUGAGUUUAAUCUCCG
rfam:Cavia porcellus supercont2_137 genomic scaffold, whole genome shotgun sequence.